rnacentral:rRNA from 1 species
GACGAACGCUGGCGGCGUGCUUAACACAUGCAAGUCGAGCGGCGCGGCGAACGGGUGAGUAACGCGUGAGUAACUGCCCCCCUCUCUUGGAUAACAGUUGGAAACGGCUGCUAAUACCGGAUAGUGGGGGUUGACUCGCGUCUUAUCAGCUUGUUGGUGGGGUAGUGGCCUACCAAGGCGACGACGGGUAGCCGGCCUGGGAGGGCGACCGGCCACAUUGGGCUGGGGUGCAGGCCAAACUCCUACGGGAGGCAGCGGUGGAGGAUAGUGCACAAUGGGGGAAACGCUGAUGCAGCAACGCCGCGUGCGGGAUGACGGCCUUCGGGUUGUAAACCGCUUUCAGCCAUGACGCGGUAGUGGCAGAAGAAGCACCGGCUAACUACGUGCCAGCCGCCGCGGUAAUUC